rnacentral:tRNA from 1 species
GAGGUUGUGGCUCAGUGGUUGAGCGCUUGCCUAGGAUGUGCAAAAGCCCUGGGUUCCAUCCUCAGCGCCACA